UACAGAGGUGGCAAGCGUUGUUCGGAAUUACUGGGCGUAAAGGGCGCGUAGGCGGUCCCGUCAGUCCCUUGUGAAAUCCCCCGGCUCAACUGGGGAACUGCAAGGGAUACAGCGGGGCUUGAGUUCGGGAGAGGGAAGCGGAAUUCCGGGUGUAGCGGUGAAAUUCGUAGAUAUUCGGAAGAACACCAGUGGCGAAGGCGACUUACUGGACACAUAUUGACGCUGAGGUGCGAAAGCGUGGGGAGCAAACAGG
rnacentral:rRNA from 1 species